rnacentral:rRNA from 1 species
GUUCAGGGGUAAACCUGCGAAACUCGAAUGAACGAACGGAGAGAUUCAUCGUCAUUUCGCGGCGUUCGAGCGGGCGUUUCGAUGUCACCGGUCACGAUCGGGCGACACGGCGCCAGUUCGUAUACGUUCGUGGACGGCGUGCACUUCUCUCUUAGUAAUACAUCGCGACCCGUUCGAUGUCGGUCUAAGCGCCUUCGGCGGGAGCCCUUACUAGAGUCUAGUGCUCAAGUUUGGACCGCUAAGGUUGCCGACCGGCCGUCGGACGGUAAGAUAAGUGAACCGCGCACGCGUUAACGCGCGUCCGGCCCGACGCAAGGUAACGUCGUAUUCGAAUUUCUGCCUUUGUGCGGAGGUCGUUGCGGCGCACCUGACGUUGCCGCCGUGCAGUCUCGGACAGUGCGCGUCUCUGUCUGCGAUGAUUCUGUUUCGGGCACUCGCAGGACCCGUCUUGAAACACGGACCAAGGAGUCUAGCAUGUGUGCGAGUCAUUGAGAUUUGAAAAACUGAAAGGCGCAACGAAAGUGAAGGCGCGCGCUCGUCGCGCGCUCAGGGAGGAUGGAGCGUCGGUCUCGAUCGAUCUCUCGCACUCCCGAGGCGUCUCGUUUCCAAUCCGUGAAUGCAGGCGCGCUCUGAGCACAGAUGCUGGGACCCGAAAGAUG